rnacentral:rRNA from 1 species
GACGAACGCUGGCGGCGCGCUUAACACAUGCAAGUCGAACGGAAAGGCCUGCUUUCCCUUGUGGAUUGCGGGUACUCGAGUGGCGAACGGGUGAGUAACACGUGAGUGAUCUGCCCCCAACUUGGGUAUAAGCCUGGGAAACUGGGUCUAAUUCCCGAUAGGACUGCAGGGUGGUGCCUGUGGUGGAAAACGAUUUUCUAGUGGUUGGGGAUGGGCUCGCGGCCUAUCAGCUUGUUGGUGGGGUAAUGGCCUACCAAGGCGGCGACGGGUAGCCGGCCUGAGAGGGUGGACGGCCACAUUGGGACUGAGAUACGGCCCAGACUCCUACGGGAGGCAGCAGUGGGGAAUAUUACACAAUGGGCGGAAGCCUGAUGCAGCGACGCCGCGUGGGGGAUGACGGCCUUCGGGUUGUAAACUCCUUUCGACCGCGAGGAAGCCACCUGGUUGGAAGGGUGGUGACGGUAGUGGUAGAAGAAGCACCGGCUAACUACGUG